rnacentral:rRNA from 2 species
CUACACAUGCAAGUCGAGCGGCAGCNCAANGGGAGUUUACUNCUGAGGUGGCGAGCGGCGGACGGGUGAGUAAUGCCUAGGGAUCUGCCCAGUCGAGGGGGAUAACAGUUGGAAACGACUGCUAAUACCGCAUACGCCCUACGGGGGAAAGGAGGGGACCUUCGGGCCUUCCGCGAUUGGAUGAACCUAGGUGGGAUUAGCUAGUUGGUGAGGUAAUGGCUCACCAAGGCGACGAUCCCUAGCUGUUCUGAGAGGAUGAUCAGCCACACUGGGACUGAGACACGGCCCAGACUCCUACGGGAGGCAGCAGUGGGGAAUAUUGCACAAUGGGGGAAACCCUGAUGCAGCCAUGCCGCGUGUGUGAAGAAGGCCUUCGGGUUGUAAAGCACUUUCAGUAGGGAGGAAAGGGUGUAGUUUAAUACGCUAUAUCUGUGACGUUACCUACAGAAGAAGGACCGGCUAACUCCGUGCCAGCAGCCGCGGUAAUACGGAGGGUCCGAGCGUUAAUCGGAAUUACUGGGCGUAAAGCGUGCGCAGGCGGUUUGUUAAGCGAGAUGUGAAAGCCCUGGGCUCAACCUAGGAAUAGCAUUUCGAACUGGCGAACUAGAGUCUUGUAGAGGGGGGUAGAAUUCC